GUAUUCUGGCAUCAAUAGAGUUCUCCGCCCCCAAUCUUUGGGAAGUUUCACAUUCUGGGCACCUCCUCUCCUCACCCAACAAUGAUGUCUUGUGUCUUGAUCCCAGUUGAAGAGACUGGCACACAAACAGCCUUGGCUAUUCAUUCCUAGAGCAAUUUUACAUAUGCAAGACUGAAGCCAAGAUUAAUGUCUUCAUCCCAAAUGUGCUCAUUCAAAUACAUCCUGAAUACACUUUGUUCUUCCCUCUGGUCUGGCUACAUUUGCCAUCUUUGCAACUUGCUGCUCUAUGGCUCUUUUUCCUCCCAUGCUGUUCCUCAUGAAUUUCAAAAUCCAAAACCACCUUCUGCCAUCAUCAUACUUCAUGACAAGGUUAGUCUUGUUGUGUCAGAAACUUAUUUUCCUGUUCAAAAUUGCCUAUUAAACAGACUACAGUGCAGGUUUAUGUGGAGAAGGAGGCCUUCAGGCAUGAUUCCUGGAGAGACUAGAGCACUGGAGAAAUCGUGAAAAUGUGUGUUUAUUGCAAACACAUGGUGAGCUAGUCAUACCCAGAAAUCAGAAUCAUGAGAGGUGGCUACUGUUAGAGCAAAGAUUCUGCAAGGAAGAAGAGGAAAGAUGUUUCGUGCCUCCAGGAGUUGAGAAAGAGAAAGAUGGUCAUUCUUGUCUGCAGUUAUUAUGGUGAAAAGUGUGACAUAGGCAGCUCCUUUUUAUGUGAAUAAGCAGAAUUUUGUAAGUUCACAUAAUUCAGGGAGGAAUUCCAAUUGGUCAUUUUCCCAUGUACAAGUUUUGCAUUUUAAGAUUUAAGCUUUUGCAACAAGAUAAAGCUUCUCUGCCAGAGUAACGUGAAGUGGCCGAUGAGGUUGAGUGUGAAAUUUUUGUCUAUAUAUCUCUUCCAUCUCAUCCAAUGGCAGGAGAAUAUUCUUCUGGUUGAUGAUGCUGUGGAUACCUAAUAUGAAAUACGAGGAGACCUAAUAUUCAAAUAGAUGUGAAAUCAAGAAGUCAAGAGGAAGCAAGAUCACAUCACCCUUUGUGUCCAAACAUGGAAUGGCUUGGUGUGUUCCUUUGUUUUCCUUCAAUUGAUCUCUCCUAAUUGGUAUCAAAUCAUGUUGCUCUUUCUUUCAAUUUUAGCUUUUACAUCUAUCUGCUAAGAACCUAGUGUUCUCUAUAGCACACAAAUCCCCUUUCAUUAACUUUAGGUAAGCAGCAAUAACUCUAAUGGUUAAUAUUUUGUGAGUACUUGUUAAGUGCUGGGUGAUGCUUUGCCUGUGUCCACAAAUGAUCUCAUUUAAUCUUCUCUGCGUAAAUAUGGAUGAGUACUUCAUAAUCAUUGUACAAACAAUGGCAGCAAAUUGCUCAAGGUCACUGAUUUG
rnacentral:lncRNA from 1 species